UCCUGUCACAACCUCCGGAGCAGCUGGGAGUACAGGCGCGAACCAUCAUGCCUGGCUACUUUUUUUAUUUUUUAGUAGAGACAGGGUUUCACCAUGUUGGUCAGGCUCGUCUGGAACGCCUGCCCUCGGGUGAUCCGUCCGCAUCAGCCUCCCAAAUGCUGGGAUUACAGAUGAAGAAACUGAGGAUGGGAGGGCCGCUCCCUUGCCCACAGUCAUGUAGCUGGCCUAGGAUGGAUGUGGAAUCCUGCCCCAGCAGUGGUGAUAUUAUUAUACCCAUGUUACAGAUAUAGAAGACUGAGGCUCAGCAUGGGUACCUUGCCAUGAUCACACAGCUAGAGGGUAAGAGGGGCUGGCUCUGCCUCCUAUGCCACUCCUGAUCCACUCUCUAAUCCCUCCUCCAGUCCCCUGCCCCAAGCCAUCAGUUAGGAUGAUUCUUAUAGCCAGAGGUGUGACAUGCCAAAGAUGUCUCUUUACCCCAUACACUCACUCUGGAACCAGGACAAGGUUUCAGUGAGGUGGACCUGGGUUCUAUCUGGACCAGGGACUUUGCCUCCAAGCUCAUUUCCUCAUCUGUAAAACAGGGAUCCAAACAACUGUCAGCCUGAAUGGGCUGUGGUGGGGUCCUGAGGGGGUUAGGACCUUGCAUCUAAAUGGGGAGACCCCAGAAGUCAGGCCUGGAGUCUGCCUCCCUGCUGGGUAGCCUCAGGCAUGUACAUCUUUGUCUCCACCUCAUGGAGUCACUGUGAGAAUAAAAUGAACAUCAGAUCUUGGCACAGA